rnacentral:rRNA from 1 species
UACGUAGGGGGCAAGCGUUGGUCCGGAUUUAUUGGGCGUAAAGAGCGUGUAGGCGGCCAGGUAGGUCCGUUGUGAAAACUGGAGGCUUAACCUCCAGCUGUCGAUGGAAACCAUCUGGCUAGAGAUCCGGAAGAGGAGAGUGGAAUUCCGAGAUGUAGAGGUGAAAUUCGUAGAUAUUCGGAAGAACACCAGUGGCGAAGGCGACUUACUGGACACAUAUUGACGCUGAGGUGCGAAAGCGUGGGGAGCAAACAGG